GACGAACGCUGGCGGCGUGCUUAACACAUGCAAGUCGAACGGAAAGGCCCUGCUUUUGUGGGGUGCUCGAGUGGCGAACGGGUGAGUAACACGUGAGUAACCUGCCCUUGACUUUGGGAUAACUUCAGGAAACUGGGGCUAAUACCGGAUAGGAGCUCCUGCUGCAUGGUGGGGGUUGGAAAGUUUCGGCUGUUGGGGAUGGACUCGCGGCUUAUCAGCUUGUUGGUGGGGUAGUGGCUUACCAAGGCUUUGACGGGUAGCGGGCCUGAGAGGGUGACCGGACAAAUCGGAUCUGAGCUACGGCCCAGACUCAUACGGGAGGCAGCAGUGGGGUAUGUUGCACAAUGGGCUGAAGCCUGAUGCAGCAACGCCGCGUGCGGGAAGACGGCCUUCGCGUUGUAAACCGCUUUCGUUUGUGACGAAGCGUGAGUGACGGUAAUGGGUAAAGAAGCACCGGCUAACUACGUG
rnacentral:rRNA from 1 species